CCCUUAGAUGUUCUGGGCUGCACGCGCGCUACACUGACGCACGCAACAGGUGCCUGCUCCGAGAGGACUGGGUAAUCAUUUGAGUGUGCGUCGUGAUGGGGAUAGAAUAUUGUAAUUAUUACUCUUCAACGAGGAAUUCCUAGUAAGCGCCAGUCAGCAGCUUGCGCUGAUUACGUCCCUGCCCUUUGUACACACCGCCCGUCGCUCCUACCGAUGGGUGAUCCGGUGAAUGAUUCGGACUUCAGCGGCUCCCCUGGGGUGCGCCGGACAAAGUUUUGUGAACCUUAUCACUUGGAGGAAGGAGAAGUCGUAACA
rnacentral:rRNA from 1 species